CGGUACCCAAAAAAAAAAAAAAGCCCGUGACCCAGACGGUUUCAGUGCAAAAUUAUAUACUUCAUCAUGGAAUUUAGUGGAGAACGAUGUGAUUAAUGAUGUGUGCAAUUUUUUUAUUUCUUCGAAUCUGAAUCGUCAAGUUAACUCUAUUGUCAUUGUUCUGAUUCAGAAGUUUCCAGGUGCGGAUAAGUUUUCAGACUUUCGUUCAAUCUGUCUCUUAGAUCGUUG
rnacentral:lncRNA from 1 species